GACAGAGGUGGCGAGCGUUGUUCGGAAUUACUGGGCUUAAAGGGCGAGUAGGCGGUGGAGCAAGUCUGGGGUGGAAUCUUAGGGCUCAACCCUAAAAUUGCCUUAGAAACUGUUUCACUUGAGUCAGUGAGGGGAGGGCGGAAUUCCUGGUGUAGCGGUGAAAUGCGUAGAUAUCAGGAGGAAGGCCUGUGGCGAAGGCGGCCCUCUGGCACUGUACUGACGCUGAGGCGCGAAAGCGUGGGGAG
rnacentral:rRNA from 1 species